AGUGCCCUCUGAUGCAAAUCAUUGGGUUAGAUCUGCUCUCUUCGCAAGAAGAGGGUUUCCAUACACACCGUGAACUGUGGCUUCGGCCAUCACAAACUGUUAGUAAUGAAUGUAAUAUCAUAACAAAAACAAAACUUUUAACAACGGAUCUCUUGGCUCU
rnacentral:misc_RNA from 1 species